CUGGCAGUGGGCCUGGUAAACAUUGGAACUUAAGCAGUGAUGGGCAGAAGUGAUGCCUCCAGGCAUCUGCGGCGACUGUAUAGUCGUGUUGAAAUGGCUGUUGUCCCUAUUGAUGGAAAGGUCACAAGUACUAUUACUACUGAGGAUUGUGGCUUACAUUCAAAAUAGAAGGGAACUCUAAAUUUCAGAUAGAAUUUAGUGAAAAUAAAGACAUGCAUUUUAAAAUUUUUUAAUCCAAAUCUGUGUGCUCUCCUGAGUUUUAUCCAUGGACCCUGUGAAUCCUUGGUUAAGUAUUCCUGCUAUAAUAAAUUCCAUUAAGUAAGUUGAUUUGUUAUUUCUGUUAGCACUUUAUUCCCCAAACAUUGCCGGUGCAUUUAUCUCUCCUUUUGCUCAUGCUGAUGAUCACUGCCCCCUUUAGAAUGUCUCAUCCUCACCUUUCCAAACCCCCACUCCCCCAGUCCCUAUCCCCCACCCCUGCCCACCCCCAUGGACCCUACUUUUUCUCUUUAAGUCUGGGAUACGUGUGUAGGACAUGCAGGUAUGUUACACAGGUAAACACGUGCCAUGCUGGUUGG
rnacentral:lncRNA from 1 species